GCCAGGGUGUUGGAAUCGGUAGACAAGCACGACUCAAAAUCGUGUGGAGCUUGCUCCAUGCGGGUUCGACCCCCGCCCCUGGCA
rnacentral:tRNA from 1 species